GGGCCCGCACAAGCGGUGGAGCAUGUGGUUUAAUUCGAUGAUACGCGAGGAACCUUACCAGGGCUUAAAUGUAGUCUGACAGGGGUGGAAACACCCCUCCUUCGGGCAGAUUACAAGGUGCUGCAUGGUUGUCGUCAGCUCGUGCCGUGAGGUGUCAGGUUAAGUCCUAUAACGAGCGCAACCCCUGCCGUUAGUUGCCAUCAUUAAGUUGGGCACUCUAAGUUGACUGCCGGUGACAAACCGGAGGAAGGUGGGGAUGACGUCAAAUCAUCAUGCCCCUUAUGAUUUGGGCUACACACGUGCUACAAUGGACAAUACAAAGGGCAGCGAAACCGCGAGGUCAAGCA
rnacentral:rRNA from 1 species